rnacentral:rRNA from 1 species
UACUAUGCUUAACCCUAAACAUCAUUAAUUAAACCCUACCACUUUACCCGCCCGAGUACUACAAGCGCUAGCUUCAAACCCAAAGGACUUGGCGGUGCCCCAGACCCACCUAGAGGAGCCUGUUCUAUAACCGAUAAUCCCCGUUAAACCUCACCACUUCUAGCCAUUACCGCCUAUAUACCGCCGUCGUCAGCUCACCCCAUGAGGGAACAAAAGUAAGCAAAAUGAACCUACCUCCAAUACGUCAGGUCGAGGUGUAGCGAAUGAAGUGGAAAGAAAUGGGCUACAUUUCCUAUUAAGGAAAAACGAACAGUACAAUGAAAAAUUACUUAAAGGUGGAUUUAGCAGUAAGAAAAUCUUAGAAUACUACUCUGAAACCGGCUCUGAGGCGCGCACACACCGCCCGUCACUCUCCUCAACACAAAAAAAUCACUACAUAAACAAACUUAACCAACAAGAGGAGGCAAGUCGUAA